rnacentral:rRNA from 1 species
AGUGAACGCUGGCGGUAGGCCUAACACAUGCAAGUCGAACGGCAGCACAGUAAGAGCUUGCUCUUACGGGUGGCGAGUGGCGGACGGGUGAGGAAUACAUCGGAAUCUACUUUUUCGUGGGGGGUAACGUAGGGAAACUUACGCUAAUACCGCAUACGACCUACGGGUGAAAGCAGGGGACAUUCGGACCUUGCGCGAUUGAAUGAGCCGAUGUCGGAUUAGCUAGUUGGCGGGGUAAAGGCCCACCAAGGCGACGAUCCGUAGCUGGUCUGAGAGGAUGAUCAGCCACACUGGAACUGAGACACGGUCCAGACUCCUACGGGAGGCAGCAGUGGGGAAUAUUGGACAAUGGGCGCAAGCCUGAUCCAGCCAUACCGCGUGAGUGAAGAAGGCCUUCGGGUUGUAAAGCCCUUUUGUUGGGAAAGAAAAGCAGCAGGUUAAUACCCCGCUGUUCUGACGGUACCCAAAGAAUAAGCACCGGCUAACUUCGUG